rnacentral:lncRNA from 1 species
GUUGAUUGGCUGCAAUUAGGCAGUUUCACAAAUAUCAACUAAUAGGGAGAUAUUUUCACCACAAUUGAUAGCACUAUGAAGUUUCCUGGCUGCAUUACCUGUUAUCAAAAGGCCUCAUUUGUAAGAUAUUUCUUCUUUAUUGUAUGUUUUCUGAUGAAUGGCAGGAAAUAGUUCCUUGCAUGAUCAUUUAACAUGCUUAUCUGUUUGUUGCCAUCUUUGCCCAGAGGUGAUUUAAUUUUCUUCUGCCUGUCAGUUAGAAUAGGACAGUACCUUUUUUUUUUUUUACCUUCACUUAAAUUCCAGUCUGAAAUGAAUCAUUUCCAGGUGAGCUCAGAUCUGGUCAAGAAAAUAAAUCUGGGCCCAUGAUAGCUCUCUUUUCUGCAGUCUUUGAUAUGUAUAAUAAAAUAAGUCCCAAACUACUGCUGCUAGUUUCAUAAAGCACCAACUUCCACGAGGAAUCUGAUAACUGCCAACCCUCAUUCCGGGAAGACUUAGGCAUUUUAUACCAACUCUUAUCCAAUUCAUUUCAUUUAUCGCAGACAACAAAACUGCUUUCCUCAGAGAACUUGGAGAGAAGAGGAAACACAAGAAGAAACGCCUGGUGCAGAGCCCCAAUAAUGCCCAAGAUGCUAUAAAAUCACCACGGUCUUUAGCCAUGCACAAACGGUAGUUUUGUGUGUUGGCUGCUCCACUGUCCUCUGCCAGCCUAUAGGAGGAAAAGCAAGGCUUACAGAAGGAUGUUCCUUCAGGAGAAAGCAGCACUAAAAGCACUCUGAGUCAAGAUGAGUGGGAAACCAUCUCAAUAAACACAUUUUGGACAAAAAAAAAAAGUACACAAAUGGAGAGCUCAGUACUUUGAUAAUAAAAUAGAGCUUCAAGGUUUCAUUAGUAAAUUGUGUGUCCUCACCGCAUAUGAUCACAAAGACCAUAUGAGCAUUAUAUAGAAUCAUGUAUGUUCUUCCCACCACAGACUCCCCUAUCUCCUGACCAAUCUACCAACUCCGAAUAAAGAAGGGAAAAAAACUCAUCCUUUUAGAAUCUGCUUCCGAAAGUUUAGAGCACUAGAUAGUCUUUUGGGGUCAGGAAUUAUUAAUCCUAGACAUGAUCAUCAAAAUAAUAAAAAUAGCAACAAAAGCAUUAAUAAUAAUAAUAGUUGUCAUAAUAUUGAAUACUUAUGUAAGGAUUUACAUACAUUGCCUAAUUUGAUUUUCACAACCCUGCUAAAGUAUGUAUUAUUAUGUUAUGCAUUUUAUAAAUGAAGAAGGCAAGACUUGGAGAAGUUAUAUCAGCUAAUUAAUAUAUUGAGUCAGCAAUAAAACUGUUUAUUUCACCUGGGUGCAGGUGGGCUGAGUCCGAAAAGAGAGUCAGCGAAGGGACAUAGGGGUGGGGCCAUUUUAUAGGAUUUGGGUAGGUAAAGGAAAAUUACAGUUAAAGGGGGGUUGUUCUCUGGCGGGCAGAGUGGGGGUCACAAGGUGCUCAGUAGGGGAGCUUUUGAGCCAGAAUGAGCCAGGAGAAGGAAUUUCACAAGACAAUGUCAUCAGUUAAGGCAGGAACGGCCAUUUUCACUUCUUUUGUGGUGGAAUGUCAUCAGUUAAGGCAGGAACCGACCAUCUGGAUGUGUAUGUGCAGGUCACAGGGGAUAUGAUGGCAUAGCUUGGGCUCAGAGGCCUGACAUAGGUUAUAAAACUAGUUUUCAUAUAUUUUCAUAGUUUCUACUAUAGUUAUCUAAUGGUCAAUAACUUUUAUUUUUAAAAAUUGUUACUGUUAUUUUUAUCAUUAUUUUUGCCUAAUAAUUACAUUUUUUUCUUUAUUUGCUAAACUAUUGAAGUACAAAGACAAAUGAAGGCAUCAGAAAUGGUCUUGUUCAUUUCAUAGUCUAUCAUUACGAACAAGACAUGCUAACAGAUGGUUUAAUACAGCGAGAUGAUCUCUAUCAUGAUAUGAAAAAUGUGCUGUGGUAUUUCAAGGGAAGAAGACAUUAAAGAUUAGUUCUACCUCAGAGUGGGAGAAGGUAAAGGCUGACAGCUGCUGGAAAGAUGACAAGAAAAUCUUCAUUAAUGUUAUGACAUUUAGGCUUCCUCAUAGCCUGUCUAGGUCAAUUCAGUUGAGUCCCCCAUUUUCCACAAGGACUAUUUCAGACUUUAUCCACCCCUCUUCACAUUUAUAAUGCCCACUCUCCUCCCCAUACUCUUAACAGGUGACAGUGCUUUUCAAACAAGUUUUGGAAGAAAAAGAACCCUGGUGUGUAAAAAAGUUAUUAGUACUUGUAGACUUGUUACAAGGAAUGAAAAUAAGGCACGAGGCAUGCCUAGCACAUAGAAGGCAUUAAAAGCCAUAAUAGCCAAUAAAAAUGGCCACCAUUAUUAUUAUAUUUAAUAGACUGGAAUUUCUUACCAGUAUCCAACUGGGUCCACAUUUCCUUUUCCUUGUAUUUCUCAUACAUAUCAUGGCACCUACAAUGGCUAGAUUAAUAAAGGAAAACCUACAAUACAGAGACCAAGAUUAUGAAGAGGGUCUUUUGUAAUGUAGCCCAGGAUGGACUAGGAGUCAUUCUUUUAACAUAAGAGGACACAAGAGAAUAACUUCUUAGGGGAACAUAAAUUUAUAAAUGCUGUAUUACCAGCUCUUUUAUUGAUCAACAUAGUGAAUUUAUAAAUAUUCUAGAAUAAAUUUAAAAAUUAAUAAAAAUCAUCUUUUGCAAUAAUAAAAGAACACUGGUUUUUCAGAUUCUCUACUUCAAGAUAAUGCCAUCCUGGGAGCUUCUACUCCUCCCUAUUUUACUUUCAAGAUCCUACUCUUGUAUUCAAUAACAGAAUUAGAAGUGACUAAUCAUGACUAACAACACAGGAGAGAAGACUGACUUUUCUAGGGACUGGCAGAAAGAUUUUAAUCAUAAUUGGUUGUCUAGGCCUAUCAAAUCAAUAUCACAACCGAUUUAUAAGUUGUAUUUUUCAAUUUGGAAAACACUGCUGUAAAGAUCUCAAAAUAUUAUUCUCUGAUCCAAAUGGGAAGAAAUUCAAGAAAUGGGGCUUUCUCCUAGAGACAAUAAAUUGUCUACAAACAAACAAACAAACCCUCCUUCCUCUGGAAGACUAAGACAAGUGAGGUAGGAAACUGUUUCAGGCAUAAGGAUCUGUCUUACUAAAUGCGUUUAAACAAUCGCUAAAGCUUGAUGGUAAAAGGCCAAAAUCUCACAACAUUGUGGGAAAUCUACAGUACUACGUUUGAAUUCACCCUGUAGUUCCCCGUUAUUGCUUCCAGAGAUGGAGUUAUGCAUUAAAUG